CGCCGACGGCCGCCCUCUAACCCUGGCUCGCACCGCCGAUAAACGGCUCCAGAGGCGGCCCGGUCCGAGCAAGCGCUGCUGCCGUGCUGCUGUCACUGCGCGGGCCGCCGUGGUUCUUUGGGGCCCCGAGUUCCGAUUUUUUGUUUUCAUCGCGCUGACGAUUUGCGACAAUGCCCGACGCCGCUGUGAUGGAUAAACUGCCAUUGGCCGCCAUAGGAAUGUGGAAUUUUCACCGCCGAGGACAGCGCCAGGGUGUGUGUGUGUGGGAGGAAGCAUGGUUAUAUUUUUAAAGUCUUAAAAAGUCCCAAGUGGCUUUGAACUCGGUUCGUGUUUCUUUGGGGCUCAGCCAGAGGUGGGAAUUCCACAUUCCUAGGGCGGGGGGGGGGGCGAGUACAUCUAUAUGGCAGGCGCUGUGUUUUUUAAAUAGUAAGUAUAAAUAGGUGAGUAGCUCGAUCCGGUUAAACUAAAACGGCAACCGGUGACGAGAAUCACGAACUUGCCAUCCACGCUCACGGACCCCACCCUUCCCGGGCACUCCCCGCUCUCCCUGCUCUCUCUCUCUCCCCACCCUCUCUCCUCUCCAUUAUAAAACACUUGUUCCUAUCCGCUCUGCUGCCCGCUCCACUCUUUGUUUGUCUUCAUCUCUGAGCUCCAUUCCGCCUUCUUUCCAGAGCCCCCCUCUCCCUUUCUCCCAGCUCUCCGAUUUCCACUUCCCGAUUCCCUCUCUCCUUCUCUCCUCUCCACCUCUCCUUUCCACGCCUCUCCGCCCUUGACACUCUCCCCCUUCCUCUCUAUCCUCUGCCUUAUUUCUCUUCUCUCCCCUCUUAUUUCCAUUCCCCCAUCUCGCUCCACUAUCACAUCUCUAACUCUCUCGCUGCCUCUCAUCUUCCCUUCUCCACUCUCCUGUCAUCUUCUUUUUCCAUCUCCUCUCAAUGAAUCCCCACUCUCUCCCCUCCCCGUGAUCACCUCUCCCCCCCCCACUCUCCCCUCGCUCCACUCUCUUCCUCUCCCCAGGCUCCUCCUCUCAACCCCGUCUCACCACAAUGCCCGCGUGCCCCCCUUGCCCCCCCCCUUUGUCCCCCCUCCCUCACCAUCAACUCCCUUCUCUUCUCCCCCUCGUCUGCUCCUCUUCUCCCCCACACCAGCUCGGCUCCUGCUCUUCGCAUCCAUCGCCCGUCACCAGGAACGUGGAAUUUCCACCACUGGCUCCUGCGGGGCUGGACACAGUAGCUGAUGACCAACGCCAUGGAUGUCUCUGUGAGCGGGAUCUCACCCCACUCGCCGGCCUGCGUGGGUCUUCAUCAAAACCGGGUCUCACGCGAGGAUCGAGAGGCUCGACGAGAGCGGAGGGGGUGCCCGGCUACGCUGAGAUGUCGAGCGACGCGUGGAAGGAAUCCCGGCGAAUGCUCCCUGCCACCCGUCACGUGGUCGAUGGCUACGCUCCGCGCUCACGGCGGGGUUGCCCGGGCCCUACAUGGCCAUGCCCCCCGUGCAUACCCCGCGUGCCCCGCCAGUGGUUUUACCCUAUGGUAGGUGAGCCUGCCAAGCGCUACCACAGGGUAGAACCACGGACGGGUCGCGUGGAGGAGCCACGCGGAGCCGGGACGUCACGCCCAGGAUUCUGAGGACCUGCUCGCUCAAGAUUUCUGGGGACCCACACCAAUCCCACCCACGCUUCCCAGCUCGCCCCCCCCCGGUCCCUCCCCCCCCGCCCCCCCGCCUCCCCCACACCCCCGCCCUCCUACCCAUAACUCUGCAUUCUCAUUCGCACGUCUGUCUCAGAACUCACACGACCCAAGAAUGUGGCACAUCGCGCUCAUGUUUGAGUUUGUCGAGAGGCGAGGAGCUUCAACCAAUUUCGCGCGGGGCUAUGAUUACACGCGCGGCGUAGGGGGGGGGGGGGGGGGGGGGUGGCUGGGGGGUAGGGGGAGCCUGGCGGGGGGGGGGAGCAGUCACUCUCUCGCUUGGCCUCACCGCGGGUGAGGAAUGCGAGUUCGCUGUGCGCCUGUGAUUUCGUUGUGUGUGUUUUUUUUUUGGUUGCUGUUGGUUUGUUCCCAAAAAAAUAAAAUUGGAAAACAAGAAGAGGCCAAAAGCGUGAAAAAUCCCAUGCACAUUGUGUGUGACCAGCAUGGUGACAUGGGGUCUUUAAACCCUUCUGGAGGGGGAAAUCUCGUAUCUCGAGGGAUCUCUAUCGAAGGAAUUUCCGACAGCGGUGGUGCGCAAAUAUAUUUCAAGGGCUGCGCCUUUAUCUCUUACCUCUCUGUGGCCAAGUCAUCCAGGAUGGCGAUGACAGGCGUUAAGGAGAGUUGAACCUGGAAGUCGCUUGGUGGAUGGGCGUGGCACGGGUUGGUCUCGGGCUGCUGCUGCUGCUGCUCGCUGAGUAAAGAUUGUGGACGGCACACAGAGGGCAGUGCAACAAAGCCCAUGCCGACACGUCUACACUCGCCCCCCACCCACGCCUUCACGAACCCGUGCUGACCAAGAGUGGCGCUCCGGAACGUUGGUCAAAUAGCCCCCCACGACCCCGCACUGACGCGGAGAGGUCCUCAUCCAGCAGUGGAGUUCACGCUGGGUGCUGCACGCGCACCGAGCGUGAACACCC